CCUACGGGCGGCAGCAGUGGGGAAUAUUGGGCAAUGGGCGAAAGUCUGACCCAGCAACGCCGCGUGAAGGAAGAAGGCUUUCGGGUUGUAAACUUCUUUUGACAGGGAAGAGCAGAAGGCGGUACCUGUCGAAUAAGCCACGGCUAACUACGUGCCAGCAGCCGCGGUAAUACGUAGGUGGCAAGCGUUUUCCGGAUUUACUGGGUGGAAAGGGCGUGUAGCCGGGCUGACAAGUCAGAUGUUAAAUCCGGGGGCUCAACCCCCGAACUGCAUUUGAAACUGUUGGUCUUGAGUAUCGGAGAGGCAGGCGGAAUUCCGUGUGUAGCGGUGAAAUGCGUAGAUAUUAGGAGGAACACCAGUGGCGAAGGCGGCCUGCUGGACGAUAACUGACGGUGAGGCGCGAAAGCGUGGGGAGCAAACAGGAUUAGAUACCCGUGUAGUC
rnacentral:rRNA from 1 species